GCGAUCUUUAUGGUCAAGGAUGUUGACAUAAUGGUUUUCAAUGACCCGUCUUGAAACACGGACCAAGGAGUCUAGCAUCUAUGCGAGUGUUUGGGUGAUGAAAACCCAUCCGCGAAAUGAAAGUGAAUGCAGGUGGGACCGUCCUUUUUGUGGCGCGCACCACCGACCGACCUGGAAGGUUUUUACUGGAAAGGUUUGAGUAAGAGCAUAGCUGUUGGGACCCGAAAGAUGGUGAACUAUGCCUGAAUAGGGUGAAGCCAGAGGAAACUCUGGUGGAGGCUCGUAGAGAUUCUGACGUGCAAAUCGAUCUUCAAAUUUGGGUAUAGGGGCGAAAGACUAAUCGAACCAUCUAGUAGCUGGUUCCUGCCGAAGUUUCCCUCAGGAUAGCAGAAACUCAGAUCAGUUUUAUGAGGUAAAGCGAAUGAUUAGAGGUCUUGGGGAAGGAAUUUCCUCAACCUAUUCUCAAACUUUAAAUAUGUAAGACGCCCUUGUCGCUUAAUUGGACGUGGGCCAUCGAAUGAGAGUUUCUAGUGGGCCAUUUUUGGUAAGCAGAACUGGCGAUGCGGGAUGAACCGAACGUGAGGUUAAGGUGCCGGAAUGUACGCUCAUCAGACACCAGCAAAAGGUGUUAGUUCAUCUAGACAGCAGGACGGUGGCCAUGGAAGUCGGAAUCCGCUAAGGAGUGUGUAACAACUCACCUGCCGAAUGAACUAGCCCUGAAAUGGAUGGCGCUUAAGCGUACUACCCAUACCUCACCGUCUGGGUUAUGUAUAAUUGAGAAGCUCAGACGAGUAGGCGGGCGUGGAGGUUUGUGACGAAGCCUUGGGCGUGAGCCUGGGUCGAACAGCCUCUAGUGCAGAUCUUGUGGAAGUAGCAAUAUUCAAAUGAGAACUUUGAAGACUGAAGUGGGGAAAGGUCCAUGGGAACAGCAGUGGCCAUGGGUUAGUCGAUCCUAAGAGAUAGGGAAGCUCCGUAUGAAAGUUGCACGAUUUUCGUGCCUCCUAUCGAAGGGAAUCCGGUUAAUAUUCCGGAACCAGAAGGUGAAUCAACACGGCAACGUAAUGAAGUUGGAGACGUCGGCAGGAGCCCUGGGAAGAGUUCUCUUUUCUUUUAACAACCACGAACUUACCCUGAAUCGGUUUAUCCGGAGCUAGGGUAUGGUGUUGGAAGAGUUCAGCGCCUCAUGCUGGAUCCGGUGCGCUCUUGACGACCCUUGAAAAUCCAACGAAGAAUGGGGGUUUCGGCUCCUCUUGUUUUCACAUCUGGUCGUACUCAUAACGCAGCAGGUCUCCAAGGUGAACAGCCUCUAGUGAUAGAACAAUGUAGAUAAGGGAAGUCGGCAAAUGGAUCCGUAACUUCGGGAUAAGGAUUGGCUCUAAGGUUGGGUACGUUGGGCCUUGAAACUGAACAGUUGCUGGUCCGGAUUCGGCGGACUGGAUGUUUUGCCUUUCGGGUAGAGACGUCUGGACUGCUGGCUGGACCUUGGCGGCUGGAUUUUCCUUGGUAAGGCUGCUCUCUUCCACGGGGUAUGCCCUUACUGGCGUACAAUUAACACCAACUUAGAACUGGUACGGACAAGGGAAUCUGACUGUCUAUUAAACAUAGCAUUGCCUUGCCUAUUUGCGUGUCUCAGAUUUCUGCCCAGUGCUCUGAAUGUCAAAGUGAAGAAUUCAACCAGCGCGGGUAAACGGCGGAGUAACUAUGACUCUCUUAAGGUAGCCAAAUGCUCGUCAUCUAACUAGUGACGCGCAUGAAUGGAUUAACGAGAUUCCACUGUCCCUAUCUACUAUCUAGCGAAACCACAGCCAGGGAACGGGCCUGGAAAAAUCAGCGGGAAAGAAGACCCUGUUGAGCUUGACUCUAGUUGACAUUGUGAAGAGACAUAGAGGUGUAGGAUAAGUGGGAGUGUAGGGACUCUCUGCACGCCGGUGAAUACCACUACCUUUAUCGUUUCUUUACUUAAUCAAUGAAGCGGAAUUGGGAUUAGUUCCACAUUCUAGCCUUAAGGUCCUUUGCGAACUGAUCCGCGUUGAUGACAUGUCAGGUGGGGAGUUUGGCUGGGCGGCACAUCUGUUAAAAGAUAACGCAGGUGUCCUAAGGGGGGCUCAUCGAGAACAGAAUCUCGAGUAGAAUAAAAGGGUAAAGCCCCUUGAUUUGAUUUUCAGUGUGAAUACAAACCAUGAAGUGUGGCCUAUCGAUCCUUUGUUGCCUCGAAAUUUGAGGACAGAGGUGCCAGAAAAGUUACACAGGAUAACUGGCUUGUGGCAGCCAAGCGUUCAUAGCGACGUUGCUUUUGAUUCUUCGAUGUCGGCUCUUCCUAUCAUACCGAGCAGAAUUCGGUAAGCGUUGGAUUGUUCACCCAUAAUAGGGAACGUGAGCUGGUUUAGACCGUCGUGAGACAGGUAGUUUACCUACUGAUGAAGUGUCGUCGCAAUGGUAAUUCAACUUAGUACGAGAGGAACCGUUGAUUCAGAUCAUUGGAUUUGCGGCUGCCUGACAAGGCAAUGCCGCGGAGCUAUCAUCUGCUGGAUAAGGCUGAACGCCUCUAAGCCCGAAUCCAUGCCAGAAAGCGACGAUUUGUUGGUCCGCAUAAUUAAUGUGUAUACAAAUAGAGUUUUUAAACUCCUGCAUCAUAGAAGAUGGGCGUCGGUUGAUAAGACGGAAGUUGUCUUGUUGACUUGUCCAUGAAAUUCCAUUGAAAACUUG
rnacentral:rRNA from 1 species